UACCCUUCAAGCUUUGCUUGGUGUUGGGCGCUGUCCUGCCUUUUAGGCUUGACUCGCUUUAAAAUUAUCGGCGUCAAGAUGUCGGCUCUAUGCACAGUAGAAUUCGUGCGUUAAAGCCUGACAGGUUGUCUGCCGUAAAGAAAUUCUUUUG
rnacentral:misc_RNA from 1 species